rnacentral:misc_RNA from 1 species
GGAAGGAUCAUUAACACUAAUCCAAUUCACCUUAACAUAGCCUUCAGUGCAGUAACAGCGCUCGCUAGCGUAAGCAGGCUUGUGCUGUUACCGCUCUAUAAAACUAAUCAUCGAAAGGAGCCUAACUAAGCUCAACCACUAAAUCCAAAUUCUCAACGAUGGAUAUCUUGGUUCCCAUAACGAUGAAGAACGCAGCGAAGUGCGAUAAGCAAUGCGAAUUGCAGAACCGUGAGUCAUCAGAUUUUUGAACGCAACUGGCACUGCUUGGCUAUCCAGGCAGUAUGCUUGUUUCAGUGUCUUGUUUUCUCCUCACCCAAAUCUUAAUGCGAGAGAUAUCCUUCUCUUGCUAAGUACGAAAGCACUCUGAGCCCUGCAGGUGACUUGGCUUCGGCUAAGGUCACACUCAAUGCAGCAGUCACAUUUCACAAUGUGAACUCAUUGAGAGCGGAGUCAGCGCAGCUUGUCUGCAAGUGUUUAGACCCACAAACUCUUCUUGUAUCUGAAAUCAAGCAGGAUCACCCGCUGAACUUAAGCAUAUCACUAAGCGGAGGAAAAGAAAUUAACUAAGAUUGCCCCAGUAACGGCGAGUGAAGCGGCAAAAGCCCAAACUGAAAAUCUCCACGUUUCACGUGGCGAAUUGUAAUCUAAAGGUGGGAAGCUCACCUAGCGUUGUCGCAGAAGUGCCUUAGAAUGGGCCGCCAGAGAGGGUGACAGCCCCGUAUGUGGUGACAGCGCUUAACGAGCUCCUUUCCAAGAGUCGGGUUGUUUUGAAUUGCAGCCCUAAGCUGGGAGAUAGACUUCUUCUAAGGCUAAAUAUUUAUGGGAAACCGAUAGCGAACAAGUACUGUGAAGGAAAGAUGAAAAGAACUUUGAAAAGAGAGUCAAAAGACUUGAAAUCGUUGAGAAGGAAGCGGUAGAAAUUUAUUCUUCUGGUAAGAACGAAGGUGUUCACCUAACCAUUGGAGUUUGCCAGCACUUUAUAGGCUGCUUGCUCCACCUGGGGAAGUGAUAGCUGGGUUCUUACCGUGAGGCAAGAUGGGGUUUCGCUCCCUCAAAAGCUUUGUAAACCUGGGAUGCUUCGGCGUUCAGUUUAUUUGUGCUGGAGGGCGCGGAGCCUGAGGAUGCUUUGUGCGAUCUUGCCAAAAUGGUUUUUACCGACCCGUCUUGAAACACGGACCAAGGAGUCUAACCUAUAUGCGAGUAUGCUGGUUCAAAAACCACCAUGCGAAAUUAACGUGAUUGAUGCCAUGCUUUUGCGGCAGCAUCGACCGACCAUGAUCCUCUGGUGAAAGGUUUGAGUAUGAGCAUAUCUGUUAGGACCCGAAAGAUGGUGAACUAUGCCUGGGUAGGGUGAAGCCAGGGGAAACUCUGGUGGAGGCUCGUAGCGGUUCUGACGUGCAAAUCGAUCGUCAAACUUGGGUAUAGGGGCGAAAGACUAAUCGAACCAUCUAGUAGCUGGUUCCCUU